UAUUAAUUAUUUUAAAAAUUUUAUUAAAAUAAUAUUUUGUUUUAUUAAUAUUUUUGAAAAAAUUUUUUUUUGAUAGUAAAUUAGUACUGAGAAGGAAAUUAAUAAAUUUAUUUAAAGAAAAAUUUAAUUUUUGUACCUUGUGUAUCAGGGUUUAUUAAUUUAAUUAAAAUAAUUUUUAUUUCUCGAAUUAAAAAGAGUUAAUUAAUUAUAUAUAUUAUUGUUAAAUAAAUAUUUAAAAUAAUUUAUUUGUAAUGAAACGUUAAUCGAUUUUUAAAAUAUCUAGUUUUUUAAGAAAAAAAUUUAAUUUUAUUUUUUAUUAAUUUAUAUUUUAUUUAUAAAAAUAAAAUUAGUAAAAAAAUAAAUUUUUUGGGAUAAGCUAAAAAAUUAAUUUUUAUAAAAAUUUAAUUUUAGAAAAAAAAAUAUGAUUAGAAAUGUUUAAUUUUUAAAUUUUGUUAUAAUUUAUUUUUUUAUUAAUAUAAUUUUUUUUUUUUUAAGGAUUUUAUUAAAAUAUUUUAUUAAAUUUUAUUUUAUUAGUAAUAAUGAUAAAAUUAGUAUAAUUUAUAUUUAUUUUUAUUUUAAAAAGAUAAAUUAAGAAAAGGAAUUCGGCAAUUCAAUUUUUUGCCUGUUUAAUAAAAACAUGUCUUUUUGUUUAUAAUUUAAAGUCUAACCUGCCCAUUGAGGAGUUUAAAGGCCGCAGUAUUUUGACUGUGCAAAGGUAGCAUAAUAAUUAGUUUUUUAAUUGAAAGCUUGUAUGAAUGGUUUGACAAGAAAAUUUCUGUCUCUUUUUAAUUAAUUAUAAUUUUAUUUUUAAGUUAAAAAGCUUAAAUAUUUUUAAAAGACGAGAAGACCCUAUAGAGUUUUAUAAAUUUUAUUAAUAAUUAAAUAUAGAAUAUAAAAAAUUAUUUAUUAAAAUUUAUUUAGUUGGGGUGAUUAAAAAAUUUUAUAAACUUUUAUUUUAAAAUAUCAUUAAUUAAUGAAUUAUUGAUCCAAUUAAUUUUUGAUUAAAAGAUUAAAUUACCUUAGGGAUAACAGCGUUAUUUUUAUUGAGAGUUCUUAUCGAAAUAAAAGUUUGCGACCUCGAUGUUGGAUUAAAAUUUAUUUUUGGUGGAGAAGCUAAAAAAUUGGGUCUGUUCGACCUUUAAAAUUUUACAUGAUCUGAGUUUAAACCGGCGUGAGCCAGGUUGGUUUCUAUCUUUAAAUAGUAAAAAUUUUUUAGUACGAAAGGACCAAAAAUU
rnacentral:rRNA from 1 species